rnacentral:lncRNA from 1 species
GUUGUUGUUAAGGUAUCCUUUUUCUUUUGUUUUUAAAUAAUGGUGAUAGUAGGUGGUAUUUAAAAAUGUCAAUGGACAAAAUAAAUCUGCCUGUCUCACUAUUACAUUUUUUUUUUUUACUGAUAUGUGAAAUCCCCAAAUCUAGGAGCCCUGAUUUGUCGCCUAAUCUUUGGAACCUUGUUUAUUCAUUUGUGAAAUGGGUAUAGGCUCACACGGGGUUUCCGUCAGCGUAGUUGUAAAUUUCACAAAGGCUACUGUUUACAGACAAAAAUGCCAUGUGCUUUGUAUGAUAUAAAUGCCCACUGAGUGGACAGCGAUGUCAAUACUGGUAAAAUUAGUUGUUUCGUGGAUAGAUAGAAGGAUGGCGGAGCAGAAGUAAACUCUUUCCUCUUGCCCUAUUUUUUUCUUGAUGAGCAUUUUCUUCUCAGCUUCCAGUAGCGCAAAUGAUUGGCAGCCAGGGAGCUUUGCUGUGUUCUUUCAGAAUCAGAGUGAAAAAGUUGCUGUCCAGGCCGCCACAGGAAGACUGGUGUGCCCAGGGAAGCCAACGUGGGUCCUCCUGUGGAACAUGAGGGGGAUAUAAAUAGGGAGAUGAAGAGCCGUAAGUUGGUCAUGUCCUUGAGAGAGGGCAUCCUGGCUGAAUGGAGAAACAGCAUCUGGGCCUUUUGGAAGAUGUAACCAGGCUGUGGAGAUGGAUGCACCACGCUGUUGGCUAGAUGCCAUUACAUAUUCAGGUUGCAUAACUUCCUGCCCCUGUGUGAAGCCAUGCUUGUGUGUAACCUUCUGAUAAUACUUAACCAUUAGCUUCUUCGAAGGGAGAGAAGGCCCUCAUGUGCUGUUGCACAUAGCUGAUUUAAUUGACAGAUCAUUCUCAUUGCAAAUUAAUUCUCUAGCAGUCUACUGAUUUGUAUCAGCCUCUGGAAGGCAGCAAGUUCACCCAAGAGAGAUGAAUCCACUCUCAGUGUGCUCCUGAAAUCAGACCCAACUGUGGGUCCACUGGCAGGCCACCUCGUGAGGUCUUUGGGCAGCCAGUUGGACAGCCAGCCAGCUAGAUCACAGGCCUUUCCCAGGCCCCAUCGCUCAGCAUUGCUUAAGUACAGUGAGUGUCCUUAGCAUGUAACCUUCAGAUGCUUCCAGGAACAGAAUUGGUUGGGAAACGUAGUUAGCUUUGUAUAUAUGACCUAAUGAGUCUUCACAUUAGAGUUGAAGGCUCCAAAACACAUCAUUAGAGAAACUUCUCUUUGAAAAUGUUUGAUUGUGUUUACUUGAAAAACCUAUAGACCCAACCAUAAACAGAAUACAUUUUUAUUUAUUGAAGUGAAUUUUAAGGAGGGGAGUCAUACAAACAUACUGUAACUGCCAUUUUCUCUAGAAACCACAAAGAAAAUGUGGAUCAUCAACAAUACAUAUAUCUGCAGCUGUGUUUGAAAGCUUCCAGCAAAUCCAUACUCAUAUAAAUAGCUGUUUCUCAAGUAUGGCUCACGUAAGAAUCACAUUUUGGAGAUUUUCAGUUUUCUUUGUUCUCCUUUCCAGUUCCAGAUUUGAAAUAUUAGUUAUGUUCUCAUAUCCCAAACACCAAGCCC